rnacentral:rRNA from 1 species
GACAGAGGUGCCGAGCGUUAGGCGGAAUCACUGGGCUUAAAGCGUGUGUAGGCGGAUCUGUAAGUACCUUGUGAAAUCCCACGGCUCAACCGUGGAACUGCUUGGUAUACUGCGGGUCUUGAGCCACCUAGGGGCAAGUGGAACAAGCGGUGGAGCGGUGAAAUGCGUUGAGAUCGGAAGGAACGCCCGUGGCGAAAGCGAGGUCCUGGACGUUUUCUGACGCUGAGACGCGAAAGCCAGGGGAGCGAACGGG